UAUUGGUCAAUGGGGGCAACCCUGAACCAGCCAUGCCGCGUGCAUGACGACUGCCCUAUGGGUUGUAAACUGCUUUUGUUAGGGAA
rnacentral:rRNA from 1 species